AUUGAACGCUGGCGGCAGGCCUAACACAUGCAAGUCGAACGAGUGGCGGACGGGUGAGUAAUGUCUGUGAAACUGCCUGAUGGAGGGGUAUCACUACUGGAAACGGUAGCUAAUACCGCAUACCAUCAGAUGUGCCCAGCUGUGAUUAGCUAGUUGGUGGGGUAACGGCUCACCAGGGCGACGAUCCAUAGCUGGUCUGAGAGGAUGACCAGCCACACGGGAACGGAGACACGGUCCAGAGUCCUACGGGGGGCAGCAGUGGGGAAUAUUGCACAAUGGGCGCAAGCCGGAUCCAGCCAUGCCGCGUGUUUGAAGAAGGCCUUCGGGUUGUAAAGCACUUUCAGCGGGGAGGCGUUACCCGCAGAAGAAGCACCGGCUAACUCCGUGCCAGCAGCCGCGGUAAUAC
rnacentral:rRNA from 1 species